rnacentral:sRNA from 1 species
GGAUGGCAGAGACCAGUGCCCUGCCCACCGGCUUCGGGGAGCUCGAGGUGCUGGCUGUGGGGAUGGUGCUGCUGGUGGAAGACCCCGGAGCUGCGGACUCCCUGCCACCUACUGGUGCUGAGCUUGGCUCUUGCGGACAGUGGGAUCAGCCUGAAUGCCCUCGUUGCAGCCACAUCCAGCCUUCUCCGGUACCAGCCCCCUCCCUAGUCCACAGGCUCUGGGGUCCUGCCUGGGGCCUGACCCCUGGGCCCUGGGCAGCCAGGCCAAGGGCAUUUUUACUACUUACAGAAAAUUGGCCAAGGGCAGAGGGUGGGCAGGCUAAAAUGGGCUGAAUUCCAGAUUGAUUCUGAAGAACGACAGCUGAUUUCUGGAAGACAGGGGUUGCUGAAACCUGAUGAAAGAGAUGGUAGGCUGUAGAGAUCAAUGGUGUGGGUUCUGUAACCAAGCAACCUAGGUUUGCAUUCUGGCUUCAGCAUUUCUAGUUCUGGGCUUCUUCCAUAAAUCGGAUAUUAUUUCCUAACUCAUAUAGGUGGUUGGAAGUAUUUACUUCUAUUAUGUGUAAAUAACUUAAAAUAAUGCUUGAUACCUAGGACUCUACGUAAGUGUUUGUGAACACAAAUAGGGUUUUGGCUAGUGUCUAAUACCUCCUUAUACAAAAACCAGGGUCUUCCAUCACAGCUUCAGAAGGUGUUUAUAAAAUUGUUUUCUGAAGCAGACUGGACAUUCUCAUUCUGGUUUUGGACACUACAGACGGAGGCUGGAGCCCCCCUGGAUGUGCAUGCUCAGUGCUGACCAGCCUGGGGGGUCUGCAUCAGUGAGAACUCUUCCUCCCACAGAGAAUUGAAGUUUCCACCUUUGCUUGCCCUUUUAGGCUGGGGAGGCCUGGGAUCUCCCCUCUGACUUUGCCUUCAUCUUCUGUGUGACCUUGGCUUCAGUAUCUUUGCCUCUUUGAAUGUCAGUUUCCCCACCUAUCAAAUACAGGCAUGAGCUCUCCUGUGACAGAGGGAUCUGAUCAUGCAGAGAGAGCCUAUGGCCCAACCGUGGUGCAGUCAAAGUCACCCAGCCUGGAGAGUGUGCAUUGGGCUCCACCCCUUCAGCCCAGUUACUUGAGCUCCAACACCUUAUAGGAAAGACACCAAUAUUAAGGCCCUCUUCGGAGAAGAAGGGCAGCAUUCAGGAACACACACUCCAAGCUGUACUUGGCAGGUGUGGGAGGUGGAAAGGAUCGGAGGAGAGAGGUCACUGGUGCCCAGUGUCUCCCACAGGCGCUGGCCCUACGGCUCGGACGGCUGCCAGGCUCACGGCUUCCAGGGCUUUGUGACAGCGUUGGCCAGCAUCUGCAGCAGUGCAGCCAUCGCAUGGGGGCGCUAUCACCACUACUGCACCCGUAGCCAGCUGGCCUGGAACUCAGCCAUCUCUCUGGUGCUCUUCGUGUGGCUGUCUUCUGCCUUCUGGGCAGCUCUGCCCCUUCUGGGUUGGGGUCACUAUGACUAUGAGCCACUGGGGACAUGCUGCACCCUGGACUACUCCAAGGGGGACAGAAACUUCACCAGCUUCCUCUUCACCAUGUCCUUCUUCAACUUUGCCAUACCCCUCUUCAUCACGAUCACGUCCUACAGUCUCAUGGAGCAGAAACUGGGGAAGAGUGGCCAUCUCCAGGUAAACACCACUCUGCCAGCAAGGACACUGCUGCUCGGCUGGGGCCCCUAUGCCAUCCUGUAUCUAUACGCAGUCAUCGCAGACGUGACUUCCAUCUCCCCCAAACUGCAGAUGGUGCCCGCCCUCAUUGCCAAAAUGGUGCCCACGAUCAAUGCCAUCAACUAUGCCCUGGGCAAUGAGAUGGUCUGCAGGGGAAUCUGGCAGUGCCUCUCACCGCAGAAGAGCGAGAAGGACCGAACCAAGUGAGCCUGCCACCCUGGAGUGAGCCCCAGGCCAGGAGGCUGUUCCAAGAGUCCUGUCCAGCAGCCUCAGUGGCCAAGCCCAGACACUCACCCACCUUCCCCAGUGGCCCUGUGGAUCCUGGUCCUAGGCUGGACACAAGGAUUCAGAAAGACACCAGGCUGCACAGAAAGAGCCAGAUGGACCUGAGUGUCGGUAACAGCCCCCUACACUCAAGGCUGAGAGGCCUCAGGAAAGUCACUCCUUUUUAAAAAUAAUAAUAAAUGUAAGGGGGUACAGUGCAGUUUUGUUACAUGGAUAGAUUGCCUAGUGGUGAAGUCUGGGCUUUUAGUGUAACCAUCACCCUAAUAAUAUACAUUGUACCCAUUAAGUUAUUUCUCAUCCCUCACCCCCUCCCACCUUGUCACCCUUCUGAGUCUCCAAUGUCUAUUAUUCCACACUCCAUGUCCACGUGUACACAUUAUUUAGCUCCCACUUACAAGUGAGAACAUGUGGUAUUUGACUUUC